AACGAACGCUGGCGGCAUGCCUAACACAUGCAAGUCGAACGAGACCUUCGGGUCUAGUGGCGCACGGGUGCGUAACGCGUGGGAAUCUACCCUCAGGUUCGGAAUAACUCAGAGAAAUUUGAGCUAAUACCGGAUGAUGACGUAAGUCCAAAGAUUUAUCGCCUGAGGAUGAGCCCGCGUAGGAUUAGGUAGUUGGUGAGGUAAAGGCUCACCAAGCCGACGAUCCUUAGCUGGUCUGAGAGGAUGAUCAGCCACACUGGGACUGAGACACGGCCCAGACUCCUACGGGAGGCAGCAGUGGGGAAUAUUGGACAAUGGGCGAAAGCCUGAUCCAGCAAUGCCGCGUGAGUGAUGAAGGCCUUAGGGUUGUAAAGCUCUUUUACCCGGGAUGAUAAUGACAGUACCGGGAGAAUAAGCUCCGGCUAACUCCAUG
rnacentral:rRNA from 1 species